rnacentral:rRNA from 1 species
AUGAGCUGGGGGUGGCCGCAGAGACCAGCGAGAAGCGACUGUUUACUAAAAACACAGGUCCGUGCGAAGCCGUAAGGCGAUGUAUACGGACUGACGCCUGCCCGGUGCUGGAACGUUAAGGGGACCGGUUAGUGCACUUUCGGGUGUGCGAAGCUGAGAACUUAAGCGCCAGUAAACGGCGGUGGUAACUAUAACCAUCCUAAGGUAGCGAAAUUCCUUGUCGGGUAAGUUCCGACCUGCACGAAUGGCGUAACGACUUCUCGACUGUCUCAACCAUAGGCCCGGUGAAAUUGCACUACGAGUAAAGAUGCUCGUUUCGCGCAGCAGGACGGAAAGACCCCGGGACCUUUACUAUAGUUUGAUAUUGGUGUUCGGUUCGGCUUGUGUAGGAUAGGUGGGAGACUUUGAAGCGGCCACGCCAGUGGUUGUGGAGUCGCCGUUGAAAUACCACUCUGGUCGUGCUGGAUGUCUAACCUGGGUCCGUGAUCCGGAUCAGGGACAGUGUCUGAUGGGUAGUUUAACUGGGGCGGUUGCCUCCUAAAGAGUAACGGAGGCGCCCAAAGGUUCCCUCAGCCUGGUUGGCAAUCAGGUGUUGAGUGUAAGUGCACAAGGGAGCUUGACUGUGAGACCGACGGGUCGAGCAGGGACGAAAGUCGGGACUAGUGAUCCGGCAGUGGCUUGUGGAAGCGCUGUCGCUCAACGGAUAAAAGGUACCCCGGGGAUAACAGGCUGAUCUUCCCCAAGAGUCCAUAUCGACGGGAUGGUUUGGCACCUCGAUGUCGGCUCGUCGCAUCCUGGGGCUGGAGUCGGUCCCAAGGGUUGGGCUGUUCGCCCAUUAAAGCGGUACGCGAGCUGGGUUUAGAACGUCGUGAGACAGUUCGGUCCCUAUCCGCUGUGCGCGUAGGAAUAUUGAGAAGGGCUGUCCCUAGUACGAGAGGACCGGGACGGACGAACCUCUGGUGUGCCAGUUGUUCUGCCAAGGGCAUGGCUGGUUGGCUACGUUCGGAAAGGAUAACCGCUGAAAGCAUCUAAGCGGGAAGCCUGCUUCGAGAUGAGUGUUCCCACCACCUUGAGUGGUUAAGGCUCCCAGUAGACGACUGGGUUGAUAGGCCAGAUGUGGAAGCCCGGUAACGGGUGGAGCUGACUGGUACUAAUAGGCCGAGGGCUUGUCCU